rnacentral:piRNA from 1 species
UGGUCUCGUUUCACAAUUCUUGGUAC